UACGUAGGGUGCGAGCGUUGUCCGGAAUUAUUGGGCGUAAAGAGCUCGUAGGCGGUCUGUCGCGUCGGAUGUGAAAACCCAGGGCUCAACCCUGGGCCUGCAUUCGAUACGGGCAGACUAGAGUUCGGUAGGGGAGACUGGAAUUCCUGGUGUAGCGGUGAAAUGCGCAGAUAUCGGGAGGAACACCGGUGGCGAAGGCGGGUCUCUGGGCCGAUACUGACGCUGAGGAGCGAAAGCGUGGGGAGCGAACAGG
rnacentral:rRNA from 1 species